rnacentral:misc_RNA from 1 species
GUUCACAUCAGUUUCACCUAAAUAUACAUCUGCUUUUUGCUUAUUAAUGCCAUCAAGUCCAGUGAGACCUCGCUCUGGGACAUCAGUUCCAAAAUUCUCUUCUUCAACUGCUUCUGAACAUUUUCCAGUCUCUGUAGGAAAGAAAUCUUCACUUACCUCUGUCAUCUUCCCAUUCUCUUCAAAUGCAAAUGUAUCAGCAGUUACUUCCACAUGCCCAAAUCUUUCUUUAUCUCCAUGGGCUUCAUCGGCUUUGUCUGUGUUCUCAUUUUUAUCUAGCACGUACACAUCAUUAGUUGCUUCAAGAUUGUUCUCCUGGU